rnacentral:lncRNA from 1 species
AUGUCAGAGAGGAUAAGACCGUGCUAAACUAAUCAUUAGCUUGAGAAAAUUGCUUUAAAGCUACCGCAACAGACUACUUGACUUGUAGAAACACAUAGUGACCUAAUAGGUAUAAUUUCUCCAUUAUAUGUAAUUUUUUCAGUUCCUAAGAGACCUGACUGGUCCUAGGCUCCCUUAGAAGACGCAGUUGCUGCAGGGUUUCCCGCCUCCGAGCAGGUGAGGGCAUUCACGCUUCUGCACUGCCCUCCAGUGGCUGACUGCCUGAAAUGCGAAUCAGAUUCUCUGGGAAGCAAAGCGCUCUUCCCAGAGGUAAGGCGACUUCUCAGGGGCUUCCAUUAUGGAGUAACAAACCGCAGUAGACAUGAGUCUCCCUAAUAACGAAAUAGAUUACUGGAUUGCAAACUAUUUACAUUUUUCACUUUUAUUUGCAACAACAACAGAAAAACAAAAGCUCUUGAGAUGUUUAAAGGAUCCGUGACGUAGUUAUUGAGUGUAGACAGUAAUUAAGUAUAUUAGAGAAGACUCCCAUAAGCACCUGGAGAAGAAAGUACUGAGGACAAUCGUGUCAAUGACGUGAAGAACUGCCAGGUGAAAUGAGACUUUA